rnacentral:miRNA from 1 species
CAAGUUUGAUUUUACGGGUUGA